rnacentral:tRNA from 3 species
GGGGGUAUGGCUCAGUUGGUAGAGCGAUGCGUUCGCAACGCAUAGGUCACGAGUUCGAAUCUCGUUAUCUCCACCA